AUGAACGCUAGCUACAGGCUUAACACAUGCAAGUCGAGGGGCAGCAUGGUCUUAGCUUGCUAAGGCCGAUGGCGACCGGCGCACGGGUGAGUAACACGUAUCCAACCUGCCGUCUACUCUUGGAUAGCCUUCUGAAAGGAAGAUUAAUACAAGAUGGCAUCAUGAGUCCGCAUGUUCACAUGAUUAAAGGUAUUCCGGUAGACGAUGGGGAUGCGUUCCAUUAGAUAGUAGGCGGGGUAACGGCCCACCUAGUCUUCGAUGGAUAGGGGUUCUGAGAGGAAGGUCCCCCACAUUGGAACUGAGACACGGUCCAAACUCCUACGGGAGGCAGCAGUGAGGAAUAUUGGUCAAUGGGCGAGAGCCUGAACCAGCCAAGUAGCGUGAAGGAUGACUGCCCUAUGGGUUGUAAACUUCUUUUAUAAAGGAAUAAAGUCGGGUAUGGAUACCCGUUUGCAUGUACUUUAUGAAUAAGGAUCGGCUAACUCCGUGCCAGCAGCCGCGGUAAUACGGAGGAUCCGAGCGUUAUCCGGAUUUAUUGGGUUUAAAGGGAGCGUAGAUGGAUGUUUAAGUCAGUUGUGAAAGUUUGCGGCUCAACCGUAAAAUUGCAGUUGAUACUGGAUAUCUUGAGUGCAGUUGAGGCAGGCGGAAUUCGUGGUGUAGCGGUGAAAUGCUUAGAUAUCACGAAGAACUCCGAUUGCGAAGGCAGCCUGCUAAGCUGCAACUGACAUUGAGGCUCGAAAGUGUGGGUAUCAAACAGGAUUAGAUACCCUGGUAGUCCACACGGUAAACGAUGAAUACUCGCUGUUUGCGAUAUACUGCAAGCGGCCAAGCGAAAGCGUUAAGUAUUCCACCUGGGGAGUACGCCGGCAACGGUGAAACUCAAAGGAAUUGACGGGGGCCCGCACAAGCGGAGGAACAUGUGGUUUAAUUCGAUGAUACGCGAGGAACCUUACCCGGGUUUGAACGUAGUCUGACCGGAGUGGAAACACUUUUUCUAGCAAUAGCAGAUUACGAGGUGCUGCAUGGUUGUCGUCAGCUCGUGCCGUGAGGUGUCGGCUUAAGUGCCAUAACGAGCGCAACCCUUGUUGUCAGUUACUAACAGGUUCCGCUGAGGACUCUGACAAGACUGCCAUCGUAAGAUGUGAGGAAGGUGGGGAUGACGUCAAAUCAGCACGGCCCUUACGUCCGGGGCUACACACGUGUUACAAUGGGGGGUACAGAGGGCCGCUACCACGCGAGUGGAUGCCAAUCCCCAAAACCUCUCUCAGUUCGGACUGGAGUCUGCAACCCGACUCCACGAAGCUGGAUUCGCUAGUAAUCGCGCAUCAGCCACGGCGCGGUGAAUACGUUCCCGGGCCUUGUACACACCGCCCGUCAAGCCAUGGGAGCCGGGGGUACCUGAAGUGCGUAACCGCGAGGAGCGCCCUAGGGUAAAACUGGUGACUGGGGCU
rnacentral:rRNA from 1 species